rnacentral:rRNA from 1 species
GUCUAUGGCCAUACCAUCCUGAAUACGCCCAAUCCUGUCUGGUCUUGGAAGCUAAGCAGGGUCAGGCCUGGUUAGUAUUUAGAUGGAGACAUUUACCGGUUUAUUAUAAAGA